UAAACUCACUGUUUCAAUAAAGUGUGCGUCUUGCGGCCCAUCGACCACAUAAGGCGAUGGAAACUCUAAUAGGUUCCAUAGCUUACCUUCAUGUUCUUCGUUUUCUUCCAUUGGCAGAGGGACGGUUCAGUAACGGUGGUGUUUAUCCUCCAAUAAAAAGGUCAGACUUCAUCUCCCAACAUCAAUCCUUAUCGCUGACUCCUCUCUGUCACUUGAGCUUCCUCCGACAACAGGUAUGUUAAAACCCGCUUCUCGCUUCUGGUCCUUUUUCUGCAAACCAUGGAGAUUUCGAAGCCUCCUUUGGAUUCUGUAGAGGACUGUAGAGGAGGUGCCCGCUAAAUAUUCAAUGGAAAGCUCCGCGUCUGAUAAUGGAGGAGACAAGACUGAUUUGCCAAUCACCACGAGAAUAAUUGUUUCAGUAUGCGAAGUUGGUUAAUGGAACUUGGGAUCAGAAACAGUUCGAGAGAGAAGGCGAAACAUAUUGGGAUUCGGUAGUAGUUGCUGAUGCAAAUAGGAGAAAGUGGCUUGGAGAUAACCCAGAAACAACUACUAAUGCAGUUUUUGUUGAUGAAAAGUGGAGACCGAGUUAUUAAUGCUGGAAGUCUACGACAUCACUCACAAAUCUCGACUACUUUGAGUUUGUUGCAGGGAUUCAAAAUAUCAAGGGCGGAUACACUCCUGCAACGUGUAUUAGACCUGAGAGUUUCUUCCACUGUCAUUACCGGAAUAUCGAUGUCUACUUCAGGAGAACUCAGGAGCUAAUCAAAGAGCUCAGUACUCCACCACCAGAAUCGAAAGUUCUCUACUUCCAAACUACGUACUCCCAGCCAUUUUUGAUAAUUUUUGUAUGAAGUGUGAGUGAUUGUAAGGUUGUUCUCGCAGAAUACUUAGAUCGGAAAGGCUGUUAAUGGUUUGAGGAAACAUGGCUCUGAUAAGAUUCGCCAACUUGCAAAGACUUUGGCAAUGAGUUUUCUAUUUUUGACACUUUCUUACUCUUUUAGAAUAUGGCAAUGAGUUUUCUAUUUUUUUGAUGCAGAGAGUGGAAGGAGCUGGUUGAUCAGUGGGUGAACACCACCAAAGAAAUCGCUGGUGCUCAAGGUACACCAGAGUCUGCUAAUCCCUCUGUAGUUGAUGAAGAAGAAGAACAUGAGUUUCCAUCACUUCCGUACGGUGUGAUAUUUUUACACCGGAAGCAAACACUUUUGAAAUGUUAAAUGGAAGUAAGAUACCCUCAGUACAAAUGACAUCUGGUUUUUCAUGGCAAUAUUGGUUUGGGUGUUGUACAGUAUGGUCACAUCUCAAGUAGGAGACAGGGAUUUGAUAGUGCAGAUCGCUGGUGUCGGAGACAUGAGCCUUAAAAACGUUUGAAAAAUAGGUUCGGGUUCAAACAUGACUUCUUACCAUCUGUAGCUGACGUCCACAUAGGAUAGAUAGUGAUCUUUAUCUUUGCUUAUGAUAUCAAGUUUUUCAACGUACAUCCCUUUGUUUCUCCACCUUUGAAAUGAACUUCUUACAUUAAAAAUUACAUUCAAAACAUGCUUUUUGUGUGUAAUAAUGAAAUUUGUGGUCAGGUU